rnacentral:rRNA from 1 species
GAUGAACGCUGGCGGCGUGCCUAAUACAUGCAAGUCGAGCGAAUGGAUUAAGAGCUUGCUCUUAUGAAGUUAGCGGCGGACGGGUGAGUAACACGUGGUAACCUGCCCAUAAGACUGGGAUAACUCCGGGAAACCGGGGCUAAUACCGGAUAACAUUUUGAACAGCAUGGUUCGAAAUUGAAAGGCGGCGUCGGCUGUCACUUAUGGAUGGACCCGCGUCGCAUUAGCUAGUUGGUGAGGUAACGGCUCACCAAGGAAACGAUGCGUAGCCGACCUGAGAGGGUGAUCGGCCACACUGGGACUGAGACACGGCCCAGACUCCUACGGGAGGCAGCAGUAGGGAAUCUUCCGCAAUGGACGAAAGUCUGACGGAGCAACGCCGCGUGAGUGAUGAAGGCUUUCGGGUCGUAAAACUCUGUUGUUAGGGAAGAACAAGUGCUAGUUGAAUAAGCUGGCACCUUGACGGUACCUAACCAGAAAGCCACGGCUAACUACGUGCCAGCAGCCGCCGUAA